rnacentral:rRNA from 1 species
GACGAACGCUGGCGGCGUGCCUAAUACAUGCAAGUCGAGCGGACCAAAGGGAGCUUGCUCCUGGAGGUUAGCGGCGAACGGGUGAGUAACACGUGGGCAACCUGCCUGUAAGACUGGGAUAACAUCGAGAAAUCGGUGCUAAUACCGGAUAAUAAAAAGAACUGCAUGGUUCUUUUUUGAAAGAUGGUUUCGGCUAUCACUUACAGAUGGGCCCGCGGCGCAUUAGCUAGUUGGUGAGGUAACGGCUCACCAAGGCGACGAUGCGUAGCCGACCUGAGAGGGUGAUCGGCCACACUGGGACUGAGACACGGCCCAGACUCCUACGGGAGGCAGCAGUAGGGAAUCUUCCGCAAUGGACGAAAGUCUGACGGAGCAACGCCGCGUGAGUGAUGAAGGUUUUCGGAUCGUAAAACUCUGUUGUUAGGGAAGAACAAGUGCCGUUCGAAAGGGCGGCACCUUGACGGUACCUAACGAGAAAGCCAUGGCUAACUACGUGCCAGCAGCCGCGGUAAAG